GAAAAUUGAAUAAAAAUACAAAGUUCAAUUCUAAAACCAAUCUAAUAUUGAAGGGUAAAAUUAAAAAAAAAAGACCAGAAUCAACCACGACAAACCCAUCAAAUCCAUGACCUAGGAUAUGAGAUCGAGAUAACUCCAUGAAAAGAAAAGUUAAGAAAAUAAUGAAUGUCAAUCUCCAACCAACCUAAUGUUGAAUGAUAAAAUAAAAAAA
rnacentral:lncRNA from 1 species